UGGCAGUUGCUGUAAAACUGAUUGCUAAGCUCCGGUCACACAGACCUAGAGACCAGCCAGUAACCCCUUGGUAACCACCGGUUACUAAUGGUUAAUAUAUGCAUUCCCCCACCAGCUGCGAUAACGCUUGGACAGAUCAUUGAAUAUCAGUGCAGGGAGCAGUCAGGCUCAAGUAUGGUGUCAUCAUGAACCAUGGACAACUCAAAAUGACACGUGGCUUUAACAAUAAACCUCGCAGUGCAUUCGAAACUCUCCGUGUAGUGAUGAAUCUCAGCGUGACCUGAAAUGGCUCCUGCGUGCGAGUGUCGGGUGUAAAAGGAUGGCCGGCAGCAUUGUGUCAGCGAAGCGCGUGAAAGGCUCCGAAGCAACAAUAUUUUAGUGUGUCAUCAAGAGCACACCCCUUCCCACAGGCAGGGGCUCCCAAUCAGCCGCUGGCUACACCUCCUGUUACGCACCUGUUGGUCAUUACCUCAUCUAGCCUUUGCAUACUUAAGCUCUGGAUCCUUCAUCUGCCAUAGUGGUAAUGUCCGGCUCAGGUUUAAUGUUCUUUCUCGCUAAUGUCUCUUUUUUCAUUGAUCUUACUUUGCCUCCUCUCUUACUCCGCCUCCAGUCCCUUCUCUGGACCUGCCAUGGUUGAAUUGGAUCACUCAUCUUCUUUGGAUUAUGUCUCAGAAACCUAUUAGGAAGAAAAGGAUUUGAACUGUGUUAGAUACCCACCUGCCUGCCCACUCUCCAUCUUUUAAACCCAUUAGUGGCACUUACCUUCUCAUAAUCUGUUUUCCAGAAAAUCAUCCUUUUGCAUGUUUGUAAUUC